rnacentral:guide_RNA from 1 species
AACAAACACAAUACAGAGGAAUAGAACGUGAAUUGAUAUGUGAAAAU